CCAAGCAGUAAAAGUUGAGGAACUGCAAGCCUGGCAGUGAGCCAGCAUACUCCUUGGUCUCAGCGCACUCUGAGUCUAGAUAGCAAUGAGCUGCAGCAGGAGUGAAAGGCUGAGCGCAUGAGGGUUUCCAACCAGAGCUGAAGGAUAACAAAAAAUGAAGAAAGCAAAUAGCAGAGCUACUGGGGUCAUUUUUCCUUACAUCAGAGUAUCUCUUACGUGUUCUAAAAUAUUAAAAUCUUAGUCUAUGUGGACUUUCUUAUCCAUCAGCUACUGCUGAAGAACUAAAUUACACACAUGACAGGAAAGGGUGUGUUUAGCAUUUGGAUCUACUGUUAAUGCUGGCUCUAGUCACUGAGUAUUGGCAACUCAUCUUUAAGGGGAGUGGUUCUAGAACAGUCACCCAAACUAUGCUUAAAAGAGUCCUCUGAGAUCUGUUUAAAUUAAAAGCAUAGACAUCCAAAGAAGUUAAAUGAAUGCCCAGUAUGAGAAACAACCAGCACUCUGAGAAAAUCAUUGGACAACAAUAGCACUUCAAAAAAUAUUUUGGGUCUACUUCAAGCUAUCAAGUUUCUAGUACAAAUAGUUGCAAAAAAUGUACUUAAUUUACACCUCAAGGCGUUCACUUUGGCCACUGUCAGAGGUAGGAUGCUCAGCUGGAUGCACCUUUGUUUGAUCCAACUGCUUCUCAUUCAGAACCAAUGGUGAGCCAUUUGUUUCUUUUAAUAAUAGAUAUGUUAAUGGGACAGUAA
rnacentral:lncRNA from 1 species